UGAAUGACUCUCGACAGUGGAUAUCUUGGCUCUCGUGUUGAUGAAGAACGUAGAAAAUGCGACAUUUGGCGUGAAUUGCAGAAUCCCGCGAACCAUCUAGUCUUUGAAUGCAAGUUGCGCUCGAGACCAUUGGGUCGAGGGCACGUAUGUUUGGGUGUCUAGCAA
rnacentral:rRNA from 1 species